rnacentral:rRNA from 1 species
GACGAACGCUGGCGGCGUGCUUAACACAUGCAAGUCGAACGGAAAGGCCCUGCUUGCCGGGUACUCGAGUGGCGAACGGGUGAGUAACACGUGGGUGAUCUGCCCUGCACUUCGGGAUAAGCCUGGGAAACUGGGUCUAAUACCGGAUAGGAGCCAUUUUUAGUGUGAUGGUUGGAAAGUUUUUUCGGUGUAGGAUGAGCUCGCGGCCUAUCAGCUUGUUGGUGGGGUAAUGGCCUACCAAGGCGGCGACGGGUAGCCGGCCUGAGAGGGUGGACGGCCACAUUGGGACUGAGAGACGGCCCAGACUCCUACGGGAGGCAGCAGUGGGGAAUAUUGCACAAGGGGCGCAAGCCUGAUGCAGCGACGCCGCGGGGGGGAUGACGGCCUUCGGGUUGUAAACUCCUUUCGCUAGGGACGAAGCUUUUUGUGACGGUACCUAGAGAAGAAGCACCGGCUAACUACGUG